GUACAGUCAAGAGAAAUAAUCAUGAGUAACCCCCGUAAUUUUCUUAAUAUACUAUCAGAAAGAGUAUUAACAGAUUCUAAUGAACUAAAAAAUAGUUUUCCACUGUCAGGAGACUUGCCAACAGUACGCGGACAUGCCAACAGCACAGUGGAGACAUCCUGAAGCAUAAACAAACAAUCAAGUCGCCAACAGUACCCGGACAUGCCAACAGCACAGUGGAGACAUCCUGAAGCAUAAACAAACAAUCAAGUAGCUGGUUGAAUGAACAUGAAACUCCAAACAUUGAUGCAUGAAACGUGUUCUGUGGAACUCCUACAUCAGACC
rnacentral:lncRNA from 1 species